GAUGAACGCUGGCGGCGUGCCUAAUACAUGCAAGUAGAACGCUGAAGGAAGGAGCUUGCUCUUUCCGGAUGAGCUGCGAACGGGUGAGUAACGCGUAGGUAACCUGCCUGGUAGCGGGGGAUAACUAUUGGAAACGAUAGCUAAUACCGCAUAACAGUAGAUGUUGCAUGAUAUCUACUUAAAAGGUGCAAUUGCACCACUACCAGAUGGACCUGCGUUGUAUUAGCUAGUUGGUGAGGUAACGGCUCACCAAGGCGACGAUACAUAGCCGACCUGAGAGGGUGAUCGGCCACACUGGAACUGAGACACGGCCCAGACUCCUACGGGAGGCAGCAGUAGGGAAUCUUCGGCAAUGGACGGAAGUCUGACCGAGCAACGCCGCGUGAGUGAAGAAGGUUUUCGGAUCGUAAAGCUCUGUUGUUAGAGAAGAACGAGUGUGAGAGUAGAAAGUUCACACUGUGCCGGUAUCUGACCAGAAGGGGCCGGCUACCUCCUU
rnacentral:rRNA from 1 species